rnacentral:rRNA from 1 species
GACGAACGCUGGCGGCGUGCUUAACACAUGCAAGUCGAACGGAAAGGCCCUGCUUUUGUGGGGUGCUCGAGUGGCGAACGGGUGAGUAACACGUGAGUAACCUGCCCUUGACUUUGGGAUAACUUCAGGAAACUGGGGCUAAUACCGGAUAGGAGCUCCUGCCGCAUGGUGGGGGUUGGAAAGGUUCGGCGGUUGGGGAUGGACUCGCGGCUUAUCAGCUUGUUGGUGGGGUAGUGGCUUACCAAGGCUUUGACGGGUAGCCGGCCUGAGAGGGUGACCGGCCACAUUGGGACUGAGAUACGGCCCAGACUCCUACGGGAGGCAGCAGUGGGGAAUAUUGCACUAUGGGCGGAAGCCUGAUGCAGCAACGCCGCGUGCGGGAUGACGGCCUUCGGGUUGUAAACCGCUUUCGCCUGUGACGAAGCGUGAGUGACGGUAAUGGGUAAAGAAGCACCGGCUAACUACGUG